rnacentral:rRNA from 1 species
UGGCCAGACUCCUACGGGAGGCAGCAGUGGGGGAUAUUGCACAAUGGGGGAAACCCUGAUGCAGCGACGCCGCGUGGGCGAAGAAGUAUUUCGGUAUGUAAAGCCCUAUCAGCAGGGAAGAAGAAAUGACGGUACCUGAGUAAGAAGCACCGGCUAAAUACGUGCCAGCAGCCGCGGUAAUACGUAUGGUGCAAGCGUUAUCCGGAUUUACUGGGUGUAAAGGGAGCGCAGGUGGCAAGGCAAGCCAGAAGUGAAAACCCGGGGCUUAACCCCGCGGAUUGCUUUUGGAACUGUCUGGCUGGAGUGCAGGAGGGGCAGGCGGAAUUCCUGGUGUAGCGGUGAAAUGCGUAGAUAUCAGGAGGAACACCGGUGGCGAAGGCGGCCUGCUGGACUGUAACUGACACUGAGGCUCGAAAGCGUGGGGAGCGAACAGGAUUAGAUACCCGAGUA